UACGUAGGUGGCAAGCGUUGUCCGGAUUUACUGGGCGUAAAGAGCGCGCAGGCGGUCGAUCAAGUCGAGUGUGAAAGCCCCCGGCUCAACUGGGGAGGGUCAUUCGAUACUGAUCGACUCGAAGGCAGGAGAGGGUAGUGGAAUUCCCGGUGUAGUGGUGAAAUGCGUAGAUAUCGGGAGGAACACCGGUGGCGAAGGCGGCAUCCUGGACCGACACUGACGCUGAGGAGCGAAAGCCAGGGGAGCAAAGCGGG
rnacentral:rRNA from 1 species